rnacentral:rRNA from 1 species
ACUCCUACGGGAGGCAGCAGUGGGGAAUAUUGCACAAUGGGGGAAACCCUGAUGCAGCCAUGCCGCGUGUGUGAAGAAGGCCUUCGGGUUGUAAAGCACUUUCAGUAGGGAGGAAGGUAGUGUAGUUAACACCUGCACUAUUUGACGUUACCUACAGAAGAAGCACCGGCUAACUCCGUGCCAGCAGCCGCGGUAAUACGGAGGGUGCGAGCGUUAAUCGGAAUUACUGGGCGUAAAGCGCAUGCAGGCGGCCUGUUAAGUCAGAUGUGAAAGCCCGGGGCUUAACCUCGGAAUUGCAUUUGAAACUGGCAGGCUAGAGUCUUGUAGAGGGGGUUAGAAUUUCAGGUGUAGCGGUGAAAUGCGUAGAGAUCUGAAGGAAUACCGAGUGGCGAAGGCGGCCCCUGGACAAAGACUGACGCUCAGAUGCGAAAGCGUGGGAGCAAACAGGAUUAGAUACCCCGUGGU